rnacentral:lncRNA from 1 species
UAUGUAAUGUGAGGUCAUCAUCUGUCAUAGCAACAAUUAAUAUAUGACCUCAUAACUGUUUCUCCAGCUGUGGCCAAUAAACUUUAAUCUUCCUUUUCAAAAUGUUAUUGGAGAUAGUUUGCCAUAAAAUUCAGCUCUGAUUUUUAUGUUUCCUUCAAGAGAUGUUGAGUAUUGCCAUUUUGAAGGGCUUUUGUUCAUAUCCAUGUUUCAGCAUCAUACACUGACACACUUUCUAUUGUUGCUCUACAGAAUUUAAGUUUCAGACCUCAAUUUACACUUGAUUCCUAUAUUGUUGUCAUUUUCUUAGAUACUGACCAAGCAUAUGCAACAGUAAGCUUUAAUACUGGAAAUUUUUCCCUUCUUGUUUCUUCAACUGGAUCCAUUAAAAGGUGUUACGGAAGCAUCAAAAGAAGUUUUCAGAAGCAAGAAAUUAAAGAAACUACUUGAAAUUGUCCUUGCUUUUGGUAAUUACAUGAACCGAGGUCAAUGAGGGAAUGCCAGUGGUUUCAAACUAAUAAGUUUAAACAAGAUUAUUGACACCAAAUCCAGUAUUAACAAAAACGUUACCUUAUUACACUAUCUUCUUGAGACUUUUGAGAAAAAAGUAAGUAUAUAUA